rnacentral:rRNA from 1 species
UACGAAGGGGGCUAGCGUUGCUCGGAAUCACUGGGCGUAAAGCGCACGUAGGCGGCUUUUUAAGUCAGGGGUGAAAUCCUGGAGCUCAACUCCAGAACUGCCUUUGAUACUGAGAAGCUUGAGUCCGGGAGAGGUGAGUGGAACUACGAGUGUAGAGGUGAAAUUCGUAGAUAUUCGCAAGAACACCAGUGGCGAAGGCGGCUCACUGGCCCGGUACUGACGCUGAGGUGCGAAAGCGUGGGGAGCAAACAGGG